rnacentral:pre_miRNA from 1 species
AUGUGAAAUACCUAUAGACCUUCAAAUAAUGUAGAUUCUGAUUCUAUAUGGGGCCUGAGAAUCUGCAAUUCUAAACAAGCUCCCAGACACUGCUAAU